GAUGAACGCUGGCGGCGUGCCUAAUACAUGCAAGUCGAGCGAACAGACGAGGAGCUUGCUCCUCUGACGUUAGCGGCGGACGGGUGAGUAACACGUGGAUAACCUACCUAUAAGACUGGGAUAACUUCGGGAAACCGGAGCUAAUACCGGAUAAUAUAUUGAACCGCAUGGUUCAAUAGUGAAAGACGGCUUUGCUGUCACUUAUAGAUGGAUCCGCGCCGCAUUAGCUAGUUGGUAAGGUAACGGCUUACCAAGGCAACGAUGCGUAGCCGACCUGAGAGGGUGAUCGGCCACACUGGAACUGAGACACGGUCCAGACUCCUACGGGAGGCAGCAGUAGGGAAUCUUCCGCAAAGGGCGAAAGCCUGACGGAGCAACGCCGCGUGAGUGAUGAAGGUCUUCGGAUCGUAAAACUCUGUUAUUAGGGAAGAACAAAUGUGUAAGUAACUAUGCACGUCUUGACGGUACCUAAUCAGAAAGCCACGGCUAACUACGUG
rnacentral:rRNA from 1 species